CAUGACAGAGCCCGCACAGACCCGUGGCCUGUGUCCUGUCUCCCCAUCCCCCCAGGACAGCCAGGCUGUGUAGACAGGGCAGGGGACCAGCAUCUUCUGAGGCCCCAGACACAGCUCCUCAGGCCCCGCCUUUGGCCCCCACACACCUCCACCCCCCAAGGGGGUUCCUCACGGGACAGCAGCGAUGCCCCACGGAGUGUCCUGGAGGGUGGGGCGGGGUGAGCGCCCAUGCAGGCAGGGCGAGGCCAUGCAAGGCAGGCUCCCCAUCUCCGGCUCAUCAAACAUCUGCUGCUGCGGGC
rnacentral:lncRNA from 1 species